rnacentral:misc_RNA from 1 species
GAUGAAGAACGCAGCGAAAUGCGAUAAGUAAUGUGAAUUGCAGAAUUCAGUGAAUCAUCGAGUCUUUGAACGCACAUUGCGCCCCCUGGUAUUCCGGGGGACAUGCCUGUCCGAGCGUCAUUGCUGCCCUCAAGCACGGCUUGUGUGUUGGGCCCCCGCCCCCCGGUCCCGGGGGGCGGGCCCGAAAGGCAGCGGCGGCACCGCGUCCGGUCCUCGAGCGUAUGGGGCUUUGUCACCCGCUCUGUAGGCCCGGCCGGCGCCCGCCGGCGACCCCAAUCAAUCUUUUUCAGGUUGACCUCGGAUCAGGUAGGGAUACCCGCUGAACUUAAGCAUAUAAUAAGCGGAGGA